rnacentral:rRNA from 1 species
UACGUAGGGUGCAAGCGUUAAUCGGAAUUACUGGGCGUAAAGCGUGCGCAGGCGGUUAUGUAAGACAGUUGUGAAAUCCCCGGGCUCAACCUGGGAACUGCAUCUGUGACUGCAUAGCUAGAGUGACGGCAGAGGGGGAUGGAAUUCCGCGUGUAGCAGUGAAAUGCGUAGAUAUGCGGAGGAAACACCGAUGGCGAAGGCAA